GUGGGGAAUAUUGGGCAAUGGGGGAAACCCUGACCCAGCGACGCCGCGUGAGGGAAGAAGGCCUUAGGGUCGUAAACCUCUGUUGUGUGGGAAGAAGAGCGUGACGGUACCACACGAGGAAGUCCCGGCUAACUACGUGCCAGCAGCCGCGGUAAUACGUAGGGGACGAGCGUUGUCCGGAUUUACUGGGCGUAAAGGGCGCGUAGGCGGUCAUUCAAGUCAGCUGUGAAAUGGUUUGGCUUAACCGGAUCAUGCGGUUGAAACUGGAUGACUGGAGUGCUGGAGAGGCAAGUGGAAUUCCCAGUGUAGCGGUGAAAUGCGUAGAUAUUGGGAAGAACACCGGUGGCGAAGGCGACUUGCUGGCCAGCAACUGACGCUGAGGCGCGAAAGCCAGGGGAGCAAACGGGAUUAGAAACCCUGGUAGUCC
rnacentral:rRNA from 1 species